UGUAUACCACAAGGUGUAAUUGGUAAAGCCAAAAUGGCUAAGAACUUAAAAACUGGAUGGUAACAGACUACAAAUCCCAGUGAUGACUCAACCUGGUGAUAUUCUGAACAAAAAGAGCUCUCAAUCAUGCUUGUAGCUGUUUCCAUCACUUCAUAUUGACUCAGACAUUGUAGGCUUCAGUGUGACAUACCAAAUGAUAUUCUCAGAGUCUUAUUAUAUAGAAACUACCAAACAGUAUCUAACCUUACCCCGUUGCUAUCCUUGCUUAUUUCACAUGUGACCCUGUACUUUAAAUGUUGGCACCUAUUCCAUGGAAUGCAAAAGGCUUUUGUCUGUGCUAAGAGUGCAAGUUCAAGUUCUUUGAAGGGAUGGUGUCCCUAGCCUCUGUUUGCCGGAAGCUGGGAAUGAGACAUGUUGUCAGAGAACUAUUUCCUCUAUUUCUCUUCCUUCAAGUACAUACUUAAAACCAUUUUUCCAGAUGUCCAAGAGAUUGACUUCUCUACAAAUACAUUUUUGGGGUUUUGUGGUACUAACUGAUCCCUUUGAGAACUCCUCCUUCCCCCAUACAUCUCUCCAAAGCAGGUUCUUGUCCACCCCUUUUCUCAGCAACAAAUAAAAAACAGAAAAAUAACAUC